rnacentral:lncRNA from 1 species
GGAGUUAAAACCUCUGAAUAAGGAGUCAGCGCGUCCUGGAGGAGACCCUGACAACAAUAACGUUGAAAAUGAAGACGAGGAUAGGGAGGUAAAUCAAGGGAAUGGAAUUCACCUUGCACCAGAGACUAUGCAACCUUUACUCUCAUCAUCACAGAGUACUGAGAGCAAUGGAGGACACAUUACAGUGGAGGUUGACUCAACUGAUGCCUCUUGUGCCUCGGAGAAAAAGCCUAAGGUGCUGAAAAACCUGAAGAAGGAGCUGAAUGAAACUGUGUUUUGGAAGAUUAAACUGUGGAUGGCCAUUCUUAUCUUCCUAGUCAGCAUCAUUUCUUUGAUCUUGCUUUUACUCUUUCUUUGCUCAGGUCAGAAAGAUGAUGCAGAUGACAAGUAUGAUCGUUCAUCGUUUGUGGUACCACUCAAAUUCACAGGGACUUUUACACUUGCCAACUACAGCCGUGUUCAAGAUCCAGUGUCUCAGGCUGAACUAGACAAUAAGAUGGUCAUAAAUCUCGGUCAAAAGCUGACUCACAUCUACGAAUCCUCCCCCACCCUGGAGCGCUACUUCUCUCUUGCUCAAAUAGAAACAAUAAGACAAAAAGAUGCCACUGUUGAGUUUAAGCUGGUGUUUAAAAUGCCUGAGGAGAACAAGCAGUUAAAACGCUAUAUUCUAAGCAGAGAAAUGGUCUAUAGUGUCCUUCUGCAAAACCUUUUUGAGCUAGAUACUGAGGACCAGCCUUACAUUGUGCUCUCUUCACUCAGCAUGGAGAUGGUAAGAUUUCAGAAUAACAUUUACUAG